rnacentral:rRNA from 1 species
GAUGAACGCUGGCGGCGUGCUUAACACAUGCAAGUCGAACGGAAAGGCUCCUGCUUGCAGGGGUACUCGAGUGGCGAACGGGUGAGUAACACGUGGGUGAUCUGCCCUGCACUUCGGGAUAAGCCUGGGAAACUGGGUCUAAUACCGGAUAGGACGAUGGUUUGGAUGCCAUUGUGGAAAGUUUUUCGGUGUGGGAUGAGCUCGCGGCCUAUCAGCUUGUUGGUGGGGUAAUGGCCUACCAAGGCGUCGACGGGUAGCCGGCCUGAGAGGGUGUACGGCCACAUUGGGACUGAGAUACGGCCCAGACUCCUACGGGAGGCAGCAGUGGGGAAUAUUGCACAAUGGGCGCAAGCCUGAUGCAGCGACGCCGCGUGGGGGAGGACGGCCUUCGGGUGGUAAACUCCUUUCGCUAGGGACGAAGCGCAAGUGACGGUACCUGGAGAAGAAGCACCGGCUAACUACGU